ACGUGGCAUACGGCUCAGUAACACGUAGUCAACAUGCCCAGGGGACGUGGAUAACCUCGGGAAACUGAGGAUAAACCGCGAUAGGCCAUGAUUUCUGGAAUGGUUCAUGGCCGAAAUCUAUAUGGCCCCUGGAUUGGACUGCGGCCGAUCAGGCUGUUGGUGAGGUAAUGGCCCACCAAACCUGUAACCGGUACGGGCUCUGAGAGGAGGAGCCCGGAGAUGGGCACUGAGACAAGGGCCCAGGCCCUAUGGGGCGCAGCAGGCGCGAAAUCUCUGCAAUAGGCGAAAGCUUGACAGGGUUACUCUGAGUGGUUCCCGUUAAGGGGAUCUUUUGGCACCUUUAAAAAUGGUGCAGAAUAAGGGGUGGGCAAGUCUGGUGUCAGCCGCCGCGGUAAUACCAGCACCCCGAGUGGUCGGGACGAUUAUUGGGCCUAAAGCAUCCGUAGCCGGUACUGCAAGUCUUCCGUUAAAUCCACCUGCUUAACAGUUGGGCUGCGGGGGAUACUACAGCGCUAGGAGGCGGGAGAGGCAAGCGGUACUCAAUGGGUAGGGGUAAAAUCCGCUGAUCCAUUGAAGACCACCAGUGGCGAAGGCGGCUUGCCAGAACGCGCUCGACGGUGAGGGAUGAAAGCUGGGGGAGCAAACCGGAUUAGAUACCCGGGUAGUCCCAGCUGUAAAC
rnacentral:rRNA from 1 species